GAUGAACGCUGGCGGCGUGCUUAACACAUGCAAGUCGAACGCUGAAGCCUGGUGCUUGCACUGGGUGGAUGAGUGGCGAACGGGUGAGUAACACGUGAGUAACCUGCCCUUGACUUCGGGAUAAGCCCGGGAAACUGGGUCUAAUACUGGAUAUGACCUCCUACUGCAUGGUGGGGGGUGGAAAGAUUUAUCGGUUGGGGAUGGACUCGCGGCCUAUCAGUUUGUUGGUGGGGUAAUGGCCUACCAAGACGACGACGGGUAGCCGGCCUGAGAGGGUGACCGGCCACACUGGGACUGAGACACGGCCCAGACUCCUACGGGAGGCAGCAGUGGGGAAUAUUGCACAAUGGGCGCAAGCCUGAUGCAGCGACGCCGCGUGAGGGAUGACGGCCUUCGGGUUGUAAACCUCUUUCAGUAGGGAAGCAGCCCCUCGGGGUGACGGUACCUGCAGAAGAAGCGCCGGCUAACUACGUGCCAGCAGCCGCGGUAAUACGUAGGGCGCAAGCGUUAUCCGGAAUUAUUGGGCGUAAAGAGCUCGUAGGCGGUUUGUCGCGUCUGCUGUGAAAGCCCGGGGCUUAACUCCGGGUGUGCAGUGGGUACGGGCAGGCUAGAGUGCAGUAGGGGAGACUGGAAUUCCUGGUGUAGCGGUGGAAUGCGCAGAUAUCAGGAGGAACACCGAUGGCGAAGGCAGGUCUCUGGGCUGUUACUGACGCUGAGGAGCGAAAGCAUGGGGAGCAAACAGGAUUAGAUACCCUGGUAGUCCAUGCCGUAAACGUUGGGCACUAGGUGUGGGGGACAUUCCACGUUUUCCGCGCCGUAGCUAACGCAUUAAGUGCCCCGCCUGGGGAGUACGGCCGCAAGGCUAAAACUCAAAGGAAUUGACGGGGGCCCGCACAAGCGGCGGAGCAUGCGGAUUAAUUCGAUGCAACGCGAAGAACCUUACCAAGGCUUGACAUGGACCGGAUCGGCGCAGAGAUGUGUUUUCCCUUCGGGGCUGGUUCACAGGUGGUGCAUGGUUGUCGUCAGCUCGUGUCGUGAGAUGUUGGGUUAAGUCCCGCAACGAGCGCAACCCUCGUUCUAUGUUGCCAGCACGUUAUGGUGGGGACUCAUGGGAGACUGCCGGGGUCAACUCGGAGGAAGGUGGGGAUGACGUCAAAUCAUCAUGCCCCUUAUGUCUUGGGCUUCACGCAUGCUACAAUGGCCGGUACAAUGGGUUGCGAUACUGUGAGGUGGAGCUAAUCCCAAAAAGCCGGUCUCAGUUCGGAUUGGGGUCUGCAACUCGACCCCAUGAAGUCGGAGUCGCUAGUAAUCGCAGAUCAGCAACGCUGCGGUGAAUACGUUCCCGGGCCU
rnacentral:rRNA from 1 species